rnacentral:lncRNA from 1 species
GAAAAAUAGCAGAAUCAUAAAACAAAAUAAUAGAAAUAGCCUCUUUAAAGAAAGUUUUAUUCUUGAUAUUUGUAGGUACAACAUCCUCAGCCUUCCUGAGUUUGUUUUGCUUUGCUUUGUUUUAAGUAGAACUGACGAUGGUCCCGUCUCUACGCAGGAAAUUGGAUUCAGUGAGUGACAGCCGCAGCCACACAGAGAGUCCUUAAGUGGCAAUCCAUUUCUAACACUGAGCCUCUAGACAUCACAGUAAUCCUGGCAAUAUGAGAGAGCGCGCCAGAUCAAAGCCCAUUUGGAGAAAAAAAGAAAAUAAUCCCAAACUGUUCCUUUGAUGUCACAUUAGGCCAUUAAUAUACAUCACAUCUGUUUAAUUUAAAACUUCUGCCCAGUGCUGGUAUGACUUAAUUGCACACCUCUUGAGACCCAGCAUUAAGUUACUGUGUACUUGGAUGGGAAACAAGAUUUGUACUGUAGGUAAUGAUGAGGUUUAGAGUCAAGUCCACCGUCAUGCGUUCUCUGUACUUUCCACUGCCUGACUGCAUGUUCCUCAUAAAUAACGUCUUCAGUUGAUGAGAGGACCAUAAACUCGUCCAAAGACAGGUCUCUUCGCCCUGUUCUGCUCCCUUCCUGGACACUGCCUUUUGAUUCCCUAGAGUACAAUGAGAAGUCUGUGAAGUAAGUGCCUUUCUUUUCUCUCUCAGUGGGCUGGUCAUCUCCUUCCUGCCUUACUCUGCCUCAUGUUGGAAGGAGUGGGGGCAGUUGUUAGGUUUUUAACAACAUCUUUAAAAUCCAGUCAUCACUCAGACUAUCAUCUCUAUUCACAUUCCAAGUAUUUUUAGAGCAUGGUCCUGUUUUUUGAUUAUAGAAAGUUUCUCUUAGAGAUUUUACCAAGCUUUGUGCAAAAACUGGAGGAAGAGUUGAAAUAAUCAAAAAUAAUUUAAAAAGACACAGGGCUUAAAAAUUAUACAAACUGGCAUCAUCAACUGUGUUUACCUCUAGCCAACUUGGGAAAUGCAGCAAUGGUAUAUCACAUUUUAGAAGAAAACAGCUCAUGUUUUCGCCUCUUGUCUCCAUAGGAAAGCAGGAGAAACAGCUGGACAUUCAUAGAAAGAAACUGGAAGGAAUAACCACAGGUGCCUGAGAGGGAGUAAAGUUAUGUGAACAGAGAAAUGUACGUUGCGUCUUGGAGCACAGAGGAGGGCACCAAACCUAAGAGCAGGUGCCCAAGAAGGCAAAGCAGAGCAGAUACAGAACCAAGGCCUUGGGUUCCAAAAUGCCCAGGGGAACGUCCUGGGGCGAUCUCGAGCUGGGAUCAGAAGAGGAAGUGUGUGCAGCUUUGACUCUCGUUCCACAGUGGGCUUGUCCCCCACAGGGUGGGCUCUGCCUGACCCGGACGAGGCUCCAUUUCACCUGAUGGGAACAAGCAAAGAGAGACAGAGCGUGGAGAGCAGCUUCCAGAUCGGGGAGAGGGAAACAUCCUCCAAAGCAGCCCCAGAUUCCUGAACCGUGUCCAGCCCUUGCGGAAAAGAUGCAGUUCGGGCUGCAAUUCAAGUCAACUUCUGAGGAGCUUCAAAAGCUCGGACUUGGCAAUUCAAUUCAAAAGGCUCUUCCAAGCUCUUCCUAUUCAACGGCGACUUCUAAGGCAAAGUCAUUGUUUACAGCCUGGCGGAGUUGGAACAUUGUAGAAAAAACAACUUGUGACGGUUGGAGCUUAUAACCACCCUCGGACUUGAGCCGGAGGCGAGUCUGAGGAGCUUCCAGCUCGGCGGCCCGCCUGGCUGCUGCGGGCCCAGUGGAUGUCUGCGUGUGACGCUGAGGGCAAACGCUCUUGCUCUCUCUCAGUUCCCUGCAAACCAUCAACAUACAGAGCAGAGAAUUUCAGAAUCACAUCCCCUGGUAGAGCGCAAAUGAGCAGAAGGGGAAAGAGAAAUGCAGUGUGAUGCACGUACUCCAUCGUGUUUGCGGUCGGGUUACCCUGUCCUUGGAUAAGAAGUUUAUAUUCUCCGGCCCCCCGGUACAUAGUUGUGUAUUCUACGUUGUGGGUUCCUCUAGUUGUGGCAUGUGGGACGCUGCCUCAGCGUGGUCUGACGAGCAGUGCCAUGUCCGCGCCCAGGAUUCGAACCGACGAAACACUGGGCCGCCUGCAGCGGAGCGCGCAAACUUAACCACUCGGCCACGGGGCCAGCCCUGAAACGGUGAGUUUUUAUAUAAACUAUUUGGGAUAUUCAAAGGGUUGGAGGGAAAAUGUGAGGUAUGCUACACUACCAAAAAUUUGGGUGCAGGUUUAGAACAGAGAAGGCCCAAGUGGAUAGAUUGACUCCAUUUUUGUCAGUCAACAAUGAUUUUUUAAGCACCUACUAUUUGCAGGUACCGGGCUAGUACAGAAUAAAGCAGUGAACAAAUAUAUACAUUUCUUGCUCAUGUGCAACAGAAUUGUUACAGGAAAACAAUUCCCCCCCAAAACAUCAAUAGCUAAAGUUGUGCAAAAUGUUGCAAAGGAGACCUAUUGAUCCACUCCAGGCCCUGACACUUUGAUCCCUCUCAUUUCUAGUUUGAAGAGCUUGGGAGUCCUGGUCAGUUCAGGAUUUCUUAGGCCAUGGUCUUUAAAUCGGGAUAAGUAUUCCCUUGGGUGAACUUACUGAGUCUUUACAAAGAUUUAGCAAUGGGCAAGUGGGAACACAAAUAGUUUGAAGGGAAUUAACCACCUGAUCCUCAGUUUCCACAUGUGGUUGUUCCUAAAACCGAUUUACUUGAAAACAAGAGCUGUUUCGGUUGCCAGGCCUAUUCUGUCUUCUCACCAAUCUUUUCACAGUGGUUCUCUCUUCUUAAAAAAGACAGGCUCACCUCUCACCCAUCUCGUACUUUAAAAUGGUCUAUUGCCCCUGCGUGUAAAAUCUUCCUGGACAAUUAGAAAUAAUUGGGGUUGCUGUUGAGAAAAUGAAUGACUCUAAUAUCUGGAUAUAGUGUUGCCAUAUAAAAUAUAGGACAUCCGGUUAAAUUUGAAAUGCAGAUAGUCAAUGAAUAAUGUAUUCAAUGAAUAAUGUAUUGCAGGGGAACAUACUUAUAUUAAAAAAUUCCUUGUUGUUUAUCUUAAAUUUAAAUUUAACUAGGUGUCCUGUAUUUUAAUUUGCUACUUCUGGCAACCUUAUCUGGGUAACAAAAGUCCUGUGGUUUCCAAGUCACUGAUUUAAAAAAAAUAGAGCUGUCUACUGAUAACUAAUUAAAUUUUUGGAUUAAAGAUCACUAAAUGAGUUUUUGGGCUAUAAAACAGAAGUUCAAAAGAUUUUGGAAAAAUCGAUAUAAUAACAUUUCUCCUGGGCCUAUCUACUUACCUAUGUGAAAAAAGUUUUUCAAUGGUUAAAAAGAACAGAAUCUAUGCUGAACCCGACCAUAUUCUAGUAAUAGUUAAUACUCUUGAACACAUACUUGAACAAACUCUGCAAACAUAAGCUGCAGCCCCUAUUAAGAUUGCAUUUGUAAUUGAAUUUUACUUUUUAUCUUUAGUAAUUAUCAACAUUUAUAUUGUUUUGGCCAAUUGUGUAAUAAGGACUGAAAGUAAUAUCAGUGAUUACGCAAUCAAAGAGAAAUUUUUCUUUAGCACUUAGAGCCUUAUCACAGGCAAAAAAAAUAAAAUUCAACUUAUACACAUAUUUGUUUCAGAAAUAUGUGCCAGAGUGAUCAUAAAGAUGUCCA